rnacentral:lncRNA from 1 species
GGGCACUAGAUCAUACUGUGGAGGUAUCGGGUGGUACUGUGGAGGAGCAGGGUGGUACCAGGGUGGCUCGGGAUCCUUUCCCUGCAGAGGUGGCUCAACCUGUGGCAGCGGGGGAGGGUCAGGUAGCUCCCUCCUUUCCUCCCGAGCCUACUGGGCAGUGAUGCGUCUCUCCAGCAUCUCAAAUAACUUAUCGACCUCCCUCCAAAGCGAACCCUCCCGGGC